rnacentral:lncRNA from 8 species
CCGACAUUCUGCUAAUUUUCUCAUCAUGAAACAUUUGAUCUCAAUACAAUUUUCUGUUUCCAAAACGGGAAUCUGUUACGAACAUAGUGGACUAAGUCCCGUAGACUUUAUCGUUUGCCAAAGUUAACAAACAAAAAAAUGCGUGGUUCACAAGGGGUGCAAGGGCGAAUUGAGUUGAUACACACGCGCACUUCAGAGUAGGCGUUCCCUAAUGGAAUAUGCAAGCGUAUGCUAGAUCGCGCCAAUAGGCUCUUGUUAGCUCUUGUUUGGCUCUGCCCACUUACUUGCUUGUUCUUCCCACUAUGAUUAAUUUUCUCCCAUUUGAAACAACAGGCUGUGGUCUAUCUUGUGUUAGUUAUACAAAUCUUUGGUCGUGGGAGGGAACCUCCGCUCGCUGGGGCUCGAGCAGGAAGGAUGCGCUGCAGGCUUUAGCAGAGACAAGAAAAGUGUAGUUUACAGUUCAAACGGAAGAUAAAUGACAGCUCAUAUUGCAGCCUGGACAUCUUACAUUUGGAAUUCGUAGGAAGGCGUGGCCAGCAGCCAGCCAGCGUGGAGCAGGACCAGAGAGAAGACAACCAGUGCAACCUAAGACAGAUAGGUGUGUGUUUAUGUGCAAAUGUGUACUGUGCUUAUGGGUGUGUUGUAUAUCCAAUGAACAUCUCAUGGAACCCCCCCCCCCACACACACACACACACACAUUCCUCCUCCCUAAACGUAUGUCUGUUUGUCUGGAUGGUCAGACUGAUGGUUGUGUGUUUACCCGUGCGAGUCUUUUCCAUUGAGACUUAUCCCCACACCAGAGGGGCUGCCAGAGUUUUAUGUUAACGUCAGCUCUUGUGUUGUGUUUCCAUCAGGCGUGUGACACUAAAGACUUUGGUAAGAAGAAUCAACAACCUCUGCAUCAUUGAAGACUGUUGCGUUUUGAGGUGUUCAUGUUCAGGUAGCCAUUGAUAUGUAAAUGCCAGCUGAAAAGUACCCAGUGCUUGGCCCCAAGUCAGGGCAGGUCCGACAGAGGCGUGGCCCAGUGAAACACGGGUUCCUGUGCAUGUAGGCCUAGUCUGAGACUUUUGGGUAAAACAUCUGGGUAAAUCAGUGUGUGAGCUGUAGCUCCAGGAACAUCAGUAGAGCUAUGCUAGCUAUCCCUCAGAUCUGCGGUCUGGAUGUGAUGCCGGGCUCAGCCACUGGGGGGCAGUGUCAGUCAUGGUGCUGUAUCUGGUGUGACUUGGGCUGCCUGUGAGAAAUACCUUGGAGACUCUUGUUCCAGACUGACUCUUCUCCAGGUGUCUAACAACCAUGUAAAGCCAAGGCAUGUUCUUGUGCCAUGCCAAUGGAAACUCUUACCUUACUUAUAGUGUUGGGUUAAAAAUAGGUAGAAGGAAAUUGCCCCAUAGAUCUUGCAUCAAUUGUUGUGUCCUCCCUAAAGUUAAGAUUUGAUACAGUAUGUGUUGGAACCUUUAAAUGUGCUCCAGGCCCUGCUUAAUUUCCCAUGUGAGAUAAGAACCCUUGGUUCUUGUCUUUUCAUUAGCCCUAACAUGGUAGUCUGUGGACUAGUGGAGCUGCUGGAGCAGAGUGUGGAGGUAUAGCCAGCAGUGUGAGAUAUCCUACUAGUGAAGAGGGACUCCCUAAUCCCAUAGAAAACAUCACACAUUUUACAUUUACAUUUACGUCAUUUAGCAGACGCUCUUAUCCAGAGCGACUUACAAAUUGGUGCAUUCACCUUAUGAUAUCCAGUGGAACAACCACUUUACAAUAGUACAUCUAUUGUAAAGUGGGGGGUGGGGGGUGGUUACUUUAUCCUAUCCCAGGUAUUCCUUAAAGAGGUGGGGUUACAGGUUUGGGGUCAAUUGAAUUUCAGUUUAGGAAGUGACAAAUGAAUAAAUUGAAUUGAGAAUGAUCUGUUAUUUUCUGAGGAUUUAUCAUGAAUCGAUUAAUUGAAGGUCAAUUUUCUUCCCAAAUGUACUAAAUUGAGGAGGAAUUGACCCCAACCCUGGUCUGCUCAGCCCUGUCCCGCUCACUACGCUUUAGGGGGACAUGAGAGGUAACAAAGGGAUGGUACCGACCUACAGACACACAUCACUAUGGCCUACAUCACUAUAUAGCCUACUAAUUUGUAUUUAUUGUUUACUAUAGUUUAUUUUAGUAAAUACUUUAACACCUUUUUUUCUUAAAACGGCAUUGUUGGUCAAGGGCUUGUAAGUAAGCAUUUCACUGUAAGGUCUACACCUGUUGUAUUCGGCGCAUGUGACAAAUAACAUUUGAUUGAUAUCUCUUUAACCAUACUGCUGACAUUGCAGUAUGUUGAAACAUAAAUUGUCUAAGGGAAGUGAAGGGCUUUGAAAAAGGAGGGGGGGCUCAACCUUAAACUCAAACCUCAGGACUGUUAAAUGCUCAAGCUUCAAUUUGACAGAGGCUCAAAAUUGUUACCAGAUAUGAUAUCCUCUGUGGCCCAUACUUCAGCUUGUAAAUAAUAGGCACACAGGACUGGAUGAAGGAAAGUAAAUACAUAAUUGAAGAAAUUAACAUUGAGGAAAAACCAGGCUACAGAUUGGCCCCGGAGGAAUGGAUUCCCCCCUUGGGCUUGAGAAUCAGGAUUACUCUUUCUAUAAACUACUAACAGGUCUGGAGACAGUACAAACCACUGGUCCCAUAUUCACAAAACAUCUCAGAGUAGGAGUGCUGAUCUAAGAUCAGGUCCCUCCUGUCCAUAAAAUCUUAUUCAAUAUGAUCUAAAAGGCAAACCUGAUCCUAGAUCAGCACUCCUACUCUGAAAAACUUUAUGAAAACAGCCCCCUAAGCUGCAAGUGAGAUGACUACUACAGUACAUAAUGCAGCAACAAUGUAGGCAUUGUCAAUCAAUUGACUUCUUGGCUUCUCUAAGCAGAUGUCCACUGCUUUGCAAGUGUAAUCUUAUGUGUGAGUGUGUGUGGGUUGAGUGUGUCACAGCUGAGGGUUGCCUGGAGUAAUUGUGUUAGUGAUAGUGGUGCUGGACAGAAGGUAGAACCAUUAGGGAGCAGGGGCAGCAGGUGUGGCGUUGGGGAUUUGAAAGGGGAGUAAUUGUGUUAGUGAUAGUGGUGCUGGACAGAAGGUAGAACCAUUAGGGAGCAGGGGCAGCAGGUGUGGCGUUGGGGAUUUGAAAGGGGAGUAAUUGUGUUAGUGAUAGUGGUGCUGGACAGAAGGUAGAACCAUUAGGGAGCAGGGGCAGCAGGUGUGGCGUUGGGGAUUUGAAAGGGGAGUAAUUGUGUUAGUGAUAGUGGUGCUGGACAGAAGGUAGAACCAUUAGGGAGCAGGGGCAGCAGGUGUGGCGUUGGGGAUUUGAAAGGGGAGUAAUUGUGUUAGUGAUAGUGGUGCUGGACAGAAGGUAGAACCAUUUGGGAGCAGGGGCAGCAGGUGUGGCGUUGGGGAUUUGAAAGGGGGCACUUGUUUCUUGUUUUUUCUUUUUCAUUAUUUGUGUAUUAGUAUUGUACUGUUAGACAUUUAUUGCACUGCUGGAGCUAGAUACACAAUUUCGCUGCAUCUGCUUUAUCAUUUACAUAUCAUUGUAAGAAGCAAAUUAACUGAUUUGGUUUGUACAGGCUUGGGUUGGGUUCACCACUCUUCCUCAGUGGAGCGUUACCCAAACGCGCAAAGUGAUUUAUGAGCUGCAUUAGUGAUGCUGGGAGCGAUUCCUUUCUGAGGGCUUACGUCCUACUCUGUGAUUGCCACUGUUUGUGUUUUUGUGUGUGUAU